rnacentral:rRNA from 1 species
GACGAACGCUGGCGGCGUGCUUAACACAUGCAAGUCGAACGGAAAGGCCCUGCUUUUGUGGGGUGCUCGAGUGGCGAACGGGUGAGUAACACGUGAGUAACCUGCCCUUGACUUUGGGAUAACUUCAGGAAACUGGGGCUAAUACCGGAUAGGAGCUUCUGCUGCCGGGUGGGGGUUGGAAAGUUUCGGCGGUUGGGGAUGGACUCGCGGCUUAUCAGCUUGUUGGUGGGGUAGUGGCUUACCAAGGCUUUGACGGGUAGCCGGCCUGAGAGGGUGACCGGCCACAUUGGGACUGAGAUACGGCCCAGACUCCUACGGGAGUCAGCAGUGGGGAAUAUUGCACAAUGGGCGGAAGCCUGAUGCAGCAACGCCGCGUGCGGGAUGAAGGCCUUCCGGUUGUAAACCGCUUUCGCCUGUGACGAAGCGGGAGUGACGGUAAUGGGUAAAGAAGCACCGGCUAACUACGUG